AUGCACGCUGGCGGCGUGCCUAAUACCUGCAAGUCGCGCGAACAGAUAAGGAGCUUGCUCCUUUGACGUUAGCGGCGGACGGGUGAGUAACACGUGGGUAACCUACCUAUAAGACUGGGAUAACUUCGGGAAACCGGAGCUAAUACCGGAUAACAUUUGGAACCGCAUGGUUCUAAAGUGAAAGAUGGUUUUGCUAUCACUUAUAGAUGGACCCGCGCCGUAUUAGCUAGUUGGUUAGGUAACGGCUUACCAAGGCGACGAUACGUAGCCGACCUGAGAGGGUGAUCGGCCACACUGGAACUGAGACACGGUCCAGACUCCUACGGGAGGCAGCAGUAGGGAAUCUUCCGCAAUGGGCGAAAGCCUGACGGAGCAACGCCGCGUGAGUGAUGAAGGGUUUCGGCUCGUAAAACUCUGUUAUUAGGGAAGAACAAACGUGUAAGUAACUGUGCACGUCUUGACGGUACCUAAUCAGAAAGCCACGGCUAACUACGUG
rnacentral:rRNA from 1 species